rnacentral:rRNA from 1 species
GACGAACGCUGGCGGCGUGCUUAACACAUGCAAGUCGAACGGUGAAGCGAGUGCUUGCACUCGUGGAUCAGUGGCGAACGGGUGAGUAACACGUGAGUAACCUGCCCAUCACUCUGGGAUAAGCACUGGAAACGGUGUCUAAUACUGGAUACGACCAACCCUUGCAUGGGGUGUUGGUGGAAAGAUUUAUCGGUGAUGGAUGGACUCGCGGCCUAUCAGCUUGUUGGCGGGGUAAUGGCCCACCAAGGCGACGACGGGUAGCCGGCCUGAGAGGGUGACCGGCCACACUGGGACUGAGACACGGCCCAGACUCCUACGGGAGGCAGCAGUGGGGAAUAUUGCACAAUGGGCGAAAGCCUGAUGCAGCGACGCCGCGUGAGGGAUGACGGCCCUCGGGUUGUAAACCUCUUUCAGCAGGGAAGAAGCGAAAGUGACGGUACCUGCAGAAGAAGCACCGGCUAACUACGUG